UCUGUCUGCCAGAGAUUCAGUGCUUAGCCACUGCACAUAUUUGUAUGCAUGCUUCAGAAGCUUACAAAUGCUGGGAAGUGUGGCAAGCCAGCUGUCAGUCUCCCUUUGCCCUGAUUGUUAGCAAGCCAGCAUGCACACUCGUAAGUAGAGUCUGGGCUUCUGCAGCCCUGCUAGCUGUCCCAGUGGAUUUCCCAGCAGACAAGGGAUUUCCAGGAGGACCGUGUGGACCUUUUCUUCUUUACAGACCCCUCCCAGGAGUGCCAGUCCUGUAUUGAUGCCUUUUUUUCUGUCCUACCUGGUUACAUGGAGAUCUUUCUUGCAGCUGUACAGGAGAUCUUCUGCCAGUUUCCAGUUGGUUUUCUGUGAGAAUUGUUCCACAGGUAUAUUUUUGAUGUGUUUGUGGGAGGUGGUGAGCUCCAUGUCCUCCUACUCCGCCAUCUCUUGAUCUGCCUCUAGACAUAACUCUUUCUUGAAGGAAAACCAUGCUCUAAAGCCUAGGUAUGAAUAAGGGGGAAAAUGAACUUGGAAUGCACCAAAAUAGCAGCAGACUUCUCUCUAAAAUCUGUUCCAGGGAAUUUCAGUCCCAUUCAGGGUAACAUAAUCACCCAGAACUCACGAGCUUUGUGCUCGGUAGGGCAGAGUAUGGUCUGCUUCCCAGCAACUUGGUGACACCGUUAGGCGCCUGCCGAACCAGGUUCCGUGGCUGACGGAGCGUGUCGCUCCGGCAUUGCUGGGGAAGUAGUCUGGAGUGCCCAGAAAACCCAGAAAAAUCUUUUCCUUGAUUCUAAGCCCUUGAUAUUCAAGUGAUAAGUGAUUGAAGAGACUUCCUGAGUAGUUCAGAGCUUCCUAGGAAAGGCAUAAAUUUUAUCAAGUUUAUUGUGAGAAUCUUUGCUGUGGAGCCAUUCAUGUUCUUCCUUUUGGUUAUCUCAGCUGAGCUACAAUACUCAGGAAGCUACGGUCGUAAGGUUAAGUGCCCCGUGGUCCUAUCCCAGGGACCGAAUCGACUGUGCUUUCCCUCACAUUUUUAUACCAGAUAAGUAAGAUUAAAAUGAGCAUCAGGGACAGCCUUGAAGGGAACAUCAGUGUGUUUUAAAUGAGCAAAUUGCAUUCAGAGAAAGAUGGAGGCAGUGUUGCAGUGUGGUUCAGGUUGGAGCGUGGGGCCGUAGGAGGACAGUCUCAUGCCCUGUAUCUUGGUGACUACAGAGGUGUAAGAGCUUCUAGUUUAGCAGUGAAGCAAAGGUCUUAACACAGGAGGGCUGCCUCCUUGAGUCAUUUGCCAAUUGCCACUCAGAAGGGAAGUGUCUGCUUUGCCAGACACAGGCAUGGGUAAAGACCAGGGCUAGGGGCACACCACAGGCUGUAACAGAAACAGUGCAGGAGCUCCAGCCUCAUCAGCAGAAUUACCAUCCUUCUUCCGUGCAGGUGGCAGGGGCCAGGCUACUGGUCACCUCCAGGGUCUCUCAGAAGUCAGGAGACUUUGAAGGUUCUCAGUCAAUGUGGAAAUGAAGAAAUGUCUAAACAGUUACAAAAAUGUUGGUACAUUUUUAAUAUUUACAUUUAGCAAAUUAUUGCCUUUAAAGCACACCAGAAAAAAAACAUAAAAAUAGUAAUUAUGGAAUUUAUGAAAACUGUUAAAAGUCCUGGUGCACUAUGGAUGGUGUGGUCCUGAUAAUAGGAUACAAGUUUAAAGUGCUCCGAUGGGGAUUGUCCUCUUUGGGUCCUUUCGGUGCAAUCCCAGACCUAAUAUUCAUGCUUACACUUGAGACCCUUCACGACUGUGAAGCCCAGGCAAGACGGCUCCCUGAGCGCCCCAUUAAGGAUGCUGUUUACCUCUCUCACGUGUUCCUAACUGGAAAUCUGUCCUUAACCAUACGCCUGUCACACCACCUGCUCCAACUUACCGUGAUGUUGUAAAGGAGGCAAAAAGACGAUUCGCAAGGAACCAAAAGGAUUUUAGAAUAGAAAAGCACAUAAUUAAUGAAGAAAUAAAACUCCUAAGACAGCGACAGGAAAGAAUUAACAAGGAGAUUCAUAGACUCCAAGCAAAGGCUACCAAGAAACCUAAUGAAGUUAAGAAUGACUUUGAGAAUUUCCUAUUUAAACUGCGUUCUGAAGCUCGAACUGAGAGAGAAUUUCUGGCGUCACUGUCAUCGUCAUCGACAACGACGGAAGAAUGCAAUGCUGAGGAAGAAGAACGCCCAGAGAAACCAGAAAUGCACGGGACUUAGGAA